GCCUGGGUGGCUCAGUCGGUUGAGCGUCUGACUUCGGCUCAGGUCACGAUCUCACAGUUUGUGAGUUCGAGCCCCGCGUCGGGCU
rnacentral:tRNA from 1 species